AAUAACUGAACAUUCAUUUUACACACAUCUUGCAUCGGUCGUAAUAAACGUUUUUCCCUAACGCGCUGUCGCCUGUUGGCACGCCGCCAACUGCUGUGCUGCCGGCGUAGAGCUCAUCAAAGCACCACCUCCUUGCUGUAGCAGUGGGCGUCACCACAGUAUUGUUCAGGAAGCUCGUGAUAAUGGUACCUACGGUCCCUUGAGGAACGCUCAAUCAAAAAAUGACAUGAUGAACUUCUUUGGAAUUAAGUGGACUAAGGACAGCUACAUUUGUAUUAUGAGCAUCGCUCAUGCAAGACAGCAGGCCAGGAUGCAGGGACACACAGCUGCAGGGGAUGAGCUGGAGAACCUGCAGCGCAUUCUCCAAGAGACGACGGAAGCCAACGGAGGCCCGCAAAACUUUCCAUCCCAUAAUCGUGAAUGGAGAGCUGGGCGGGGAAGACGCGGUAUUCGUCGAGGCCCAGGAGGUGGUAUCGGCGCCACCAGACCAAGCAUUCCUGCUGUGGCAGGCCGCCUUUUGGAUUUUUAAUAUCAAAACUCCUA